AAUGGGGGAAACCCUGAUGCAGCCAUGCCGCGUGUGUGAAGAAGGCCUUCGGGUUGUAAAGCACUUUCAGUUGUGAGGAAAAGUUAGUAGUUAAUACCUGCUAGCCGUGACGUUAACAACAGAAGAAGCACCGGCUAACUCCGUGCCAGCAGCCGCGGUAAUACGGAGGGUGCGAGCGUUAAUCGGAAUUACUGGGCGUAAAGCGCACGCAGGCGGUUUGUUAAGCUAGAUGUGAAAGCCCCGGGCUCAACCUGGGAUGGUCAUUUAGAACUGGCAGACUAGAGUCUUGGAGAGGGGAGUGGAAUUCCAGGUGUAGCGGUGAAAUGCGUAGAUAUCUGGAGGAACAUCAGUGGCGAAGGCGACUCCCUGGCCAAAGACUGACGCUCAUGUGCGAAAGUGUGGGUAGCGAACAGGAUUAGAUACCCUGGUAGUCCACACCGUAAACGCUGUCUACUAGCUGUUUGUGACUUUAAGNCGUGAGUAGCGAAGCUAACGCGAUAAGUAGACCGCCUGGGGAGUACGGCCGCAAGGUUAAAACUCA
rnacentral:rRNA from 1 species